UGCACUUAACGCCACACUCGGGGACUUAGAUGCGAUGCAGAAUCGCCUAAGCACCCACAUGCCUUCGACUGUAUCCUACAGGUACACUCGGGAACUCAACAGACCCUCAUUGAGGAUCAUGUGGAUGUCAAAACAACUGACAACUACAUGAGUUGCAGACCCUCAUUGAGGCUCAUGUGGAUGUCAAAACAACUGACAACUACAUGAGUUGCAGACCCUCAUUG
rnacentral:lncRNA from 1 species